GUUUGGGAGCAGCUUAUUGAUGUCCUGAUGCAGGUUUAAAAUGUUUGGGAGCACACUCAUUAAUGUCCUGAUGCAGGUUUAAAAUGUUUGGGAGCAGCUUAUUGAUGUCCUGAUGCAGGUUUAAAAUGUUUGGGAGCAGCUUAUUGAUGUCCUGUUGCAGGUUUAAAAUGUUUGGGAGCAGCUCAUUGAUGUCCUGAUGCAGGUUUAACAUGUUUGGGAGCA